rnacentral:rRNA from 1 species
UAGGGAAUUUUCCACAAUGGGCGCAAGCCUGAUGGAGCAACGCCGCGUGCAGGAUGAAGGCCUUCGGGUUGUAAACUGCUUUUCUCUGUGACGAUUAUGACGGUAGCAGAGGAAUAAGGACCGGCUAACUACGUGCCAGCAGCCGCGGUCAUACGUAGGGUCCAAGCGUUAUCCGGAAUUACUGGGCGUAAAGAGUUGCGUAGGUGGCAGAGUAAGUUGGUAGUGAAAUCGUGUGGCUCAACCAUACACACAUUACCAAAACUGCUCAGCUAGAAGAUGAGAGAGGUCGCUAGAAUUCCUAGUGUAGGAGUGAAAUCCGUAGAUAUUAGGAGGAAUACCGAUGGCGUAGGCAGGCGACUGGCUCAUUCUUGACACUAAGGCACGAAAGCGUGGGGAGCGAACGGGAUUAGAUACCCCCGUAGUCC